rnacentral:rRNA from 1 species
UACGUAGGGGUCUAGCGUUGUCCGGAAUUAUUGGGCGUAAAGAGCUCGUAGGCGGUCUGUCGCGUCGGUCGUGAAAACUUGGGGCUUAACCCUGAGCUUGCGGUCGAUACGGGCAUGACUGGAGUUCGGUAGGGGAGACUGGAAUUCCUGGUGUAGCGGUGAAAUGCGCAGAUAUCAGGAGGAACACCGGUGGCGAAGGCGGGUCUCUGGGCCGAUACUGACGCUGAGGCGCGAAAGCGUGGGGAGCAAACAGG